GACGAACGCUGGCGGCGUGCCUAAUACAUGCAAGUAGAACGCUGAAGAGAGGAGCUUGCUCUUCUUGGAUGAGUUGCGAACGGGUGAGUAACGCGUAGGUAACCUGCCUGGUAGCGGGGGAUAACUAUUGGAAACGAUAGCUGAUACCGCAUAAAAUUGAUUAUUGCAUGAUAAUUAAUUGAAAGAUGCAACUGCAUCACUACCAGAUGGACCUGCGUUGUAUUAGCUAGUUGGUGAGGUAACGGCUCACCAAGGCGACGAUACAUAGCCGACCUGAGAGGGUGAUCGGCCACACUGGGACUGAGACACGGCCCAGACUCCUACGGGAGGCAGCAGUAGGGAAUCUUCGGCAAUGGGGGGAACCCUGACCGAGCAACGCCGCGUGAGUGAAGAAGGGUGUCGGAUCGUAAAGCUCUGUUGUAAGAGAAGAACGGGUGUGAGAGUGGAAAGUUCACACUGUGACGGUAUCUUACCAGAAAGGGACGGCUAACUACGUG
rnacentral:rRNA from 1 species